rnacentral:rRNA from 1 species
AACGAACGCUGGCGGCAUGCCUAACACAUGCAAGUCGAGCGAGACCUUCGGGUCUAGUGGCGCACGGGUGCGUAACGCGUGGGAACCUGCCCUUAGGUUCGGAAUAACUCCCCGAAAGGGGUGCUAAUACCGGAUAAUGUCUUCGGACCAAAGAUUUAUCGCCUUUGGAUGGGCCCGCGUUGGAUUAGCUAGUUGGUAGGGUAAAAGCCUACCAAGGCGACGAUCCAUAGCCGGUCUGAGAGGAUGAUCAGCCACACUGGGACUGAGACACGGCCCAGACUCCUACGGGAGGCAGCAGUGGGGAAUAUUGGACAAUGGGCGAAAGCCUGAUCCAGCAAUGCCGCGUGAGUGAUGAAGGCCUUAGGGUUGUAAAGCUCUUUUACCCGGGUUGAUAAUGACAGUACCGGGAGAAUAAGCUCCGGCUAACUCCGUG